AUUGAACGCUGGCGGCAGGCUUAACACAUGCAAGUCGAGCGGGGUGAUGGUGCUUGCACUAUCACUUAGCGGCGGACGGGUGAGUAAUGCUUAGGAAUCUGCCUAUUAGUGGGGGACAACAUCUCGAAAGGGAUGCUAAUACCGCAUACGUCCUACGGGAGAAAGCAGGGGAUCACUUGCGACCUUGCGCUAAUAGAUGAGCCUAAGUCGGAUUAGCUAGUUGGUGGGGUAAAGGCCUACCAAGGCGACGAUCUGUAGCGGGUCUGAGAGGAUGAUCCGCCAAACUGGGACUGAGACACGGCCCAGACUCCUACGGGAGGCAGCAGUGGGGAAUAUUGGACAAUGGGGGGAACCCUGAUCCAGCCAUGCCGCGUGUGUGAAGAAGGCCUUAUGGUUGUAAAGCACUUUAAGCGAGGAGGAGGCUCUUUUGGUUAAUACCCAAGAUGAGUGGACGUUACUCGCAGAGUAAGCACCGGCUAACUCUGUGCCAGCAGCCGCCGUAA
rnacentral:rRNA from 1 species